rnacentral:rRNA from 1 species
CGCUGAAGCCUGGUGCUUGCACCGGGUGGAUGAGUGGCGAACGGGUGAGUAACACGUGAGUAACCUGCCCCUGACUUCGGGAUAAGCCCGGGAAACUGGGUCUAAUACCGGAUACGACUGCCGGACGCAUGUCUGGUGGUGGAAAGUUUUUUCGGUUGGGGAUGGGCUCGCGGCCUAUCAGUUUGUUGGUGAGGUAAUGGCUCACCAAGACGACGACGGGUAGCCGGCCUGAGAGGGCGACCGGCCACACUGGGACUGAGACACGGCCCAGACUCCUACGGGAGGCAGCAGUGGGGAAUAUUGCACAAUGGGGGAAACCCUGAUGCAGCGACGCAGCGUGCGGGAUGACGGCCUUCGGGUUGUAAACCGCUUUCAGCAGGGAAGAAGCGCAAGUGACGGUACCUGCAGAAGAAGUACCGGCUAACUACGUGCCAGCAGCCGCGGUAAUACGUAGGGUACGAGCGUUGUCCGGAAUUAUUGGGCGUAAAGAGCUCGUAGGUGGUUGGUCACGUCUGCUGUGGAAACGCAACGCUUAACGUUGCGCGUGCAGUGGGUACGGGCUGACUAGAGUGCAGUAGGGGAGUCUGGAAUUCCUGGUGUAGCGGUGAAAUGCGCAGAUAUCAGGAGGAACACCGGUGGCGAAGGCGGGACUCUGGGCUGUAACUGACACUGAGGAGCGAAAGCAUGGGGAGCGAACAGGAUUAGAUACCCUGGUAGUCCAUGCCGUAAACGUUGGGCACUAGGUGUGGGGGGCAUUCCACGUUCUCCGCGCCGUAGCUAACGCAUUAAGUGCCCCGCCUGGGGAGUACGGUCGCAAGGCUAAAACUCAAAGGAAUUGACGGGGGCCCGCACAAGCGGCGGAGCAUGCGGAUUAAUUCGAUGCAACGCGAAGAACCUUACCAAGGCUUGACAUACACCGGACCGUCCUGGAAACAGGUCCUCUUCUUUGAAGCUGGUGUACAGGUGGUGCAUGGUUGUCGUCAGCUCGUGUCGUGAGAUGGUUGGGUUAAGUCCCGCAACGAGCGCAACCCUCGUUCUAUGUUGCAGCACGUGGAUGGUGGGAACUCAUAGGAGACUGCCGG